GUGCUUGCUUUGGCAGCACAAAUACUGAAAUUGGAAUGAUACAGAGAAGAUUAACAUGGCUCCUUGCACAAGGAUGACAUGCAAAUUCAUGAAAUAUUCCAUAUUAAA
ensembl:snRNA U6 U6 spliceosomal RNA